rnacentral:tmRNA from 1 species
GGGGGCGUAACGGUUUCGACGAGGAUGAUGACGUCCGGAUCGCGCGUCGUGGCGCCCAAGGCCACGUAAAAAUGGGCAAACCAUGCAACUGCGAACGAUAACGCUGUUGCUCUCGCUGCCUGAUAAAACCAGGUAACGACGGUGUCCGCAGCUUCCGUCUGUAGCUACGAAACACCGACACAAUCAGACUGGAUCUCCUGACCCGCUGGCGCAUGGAGAUCGAGACAAAGUCAGCUUGUUGAGCUCGUAGGCCGGCCGCUGCCGACGAGCUCGAGACUUCAAAUAGCGUGCCUACACGCGUAGACGUCCGGUCAGAGGCAUUUUCGGACGCGGGUUCGACUCCCGCCGCUUCCACUA